rnacentral:misc_RNA from 1 species
UGAUUAUAGUAUUUGUGAAAGUUACUACGAACAAACAAAAAUAUUUAUAGUCAAAACAAAAAUAAUCA